UUUACAUCAUUUAGAUUGUCUGAUCAAAAACAAAUACGAGGAGAUGAUUGCAGAUAAUUCGUUGGAGAAAACCCAGUUCAGCCAGCCAAGAAGAAGAUCGUCAGGUAGCAGAGCACAGCCGUUUGUCAAAUGCAAAAAAAGACGGUGCCUCGAUCGGGCGACCCAAUCAGAAAAUCGGUUGCAUUACACAGCAUAGACCGUGCAACACCGCCGUCCUGAUUCCUCCGUGUUCACGUGAAAACCAACCGUUGUUGGGCAAGGUGAAGCAGAGCAGAGCAGGCAUGUGACCACCUCGCCACUUUCUGCCUUUUGAACUUCGGCAACCCGAGGGCGGGUCUUCAUGUGCUUCGACAUUCUGCGGUGCGUCGCAGAUCUCCGUCCUAGAAGGAGCGGCGGGCGGGGCAUGGCGACCUCGAGCUUCCACGUUUUUUCUCCGGGGAAAAGGCUGCAUGCAAUGCAAAGUGUUCAGGGUUAUUUCUCAAAGAUUUGUCUCAACCAUGCAUGUAUGUAUGAAUGAAUUAACUAACGACCAUGUAUGUAUGGCAAACAUGAGAGAAAGAAAGGAUUCGUGGGCAUCAUAUGGAGUUGGAGGGGCAAUACUUUGUUCCAAACACCACUAUUCUGUGCAACACAUCAUCCAGCGACCGGACGCCUUUUCUCGCUUUAUACAAAUAUAUAUACAAGGUUAAGAGUAUUUCACCAAACACGAGUUUCAGCGCCAGGGUUGUAACAGGCCACAGCGGGGUUUGGCUCAUCUGUGGUGGGUGGAUCUAAACAAAACAAAUCCUAAAACCAUCGGUUAAACACUACCAAACGAUGUCACCGAUGAUGAUCCAUCACAAUGACACAGCAAGAGUAAAAAUGCAGAGCUGCAGCCAUAUAUGUACCUGUAUCUCUGACUCUGCAGUAUUCUUGUACUAGUGGCUACAUCAGCAGCUCGGCAGCAUAAAUAAAUCCCAGGAGCACAAGCAAAACACCUCUGACAGGAAUCAUGCCUUGAGCGCGCAACACAUACUGAAGAAUAAGAAACAGAUAAAGUUAUACGUAUCUCACGAAAAGAGAGCGAUGUUGAGAAAUGAAGAGAGUGCAAAACUACUGUUACAAAGGUUACCUGCUGGCUGCUGCAUGCACGUCCUGAAAGUGAGUAGAGUUACGCCUGGACCACUCAUCAAAACCUUAGACUCCCCCAAGUGCAUCACGGCACGUUGGCUUCUUUCUCGGCAACGUGUCCUGCUGACACGAUCUGCAAAGCUGUGCCUCCGACGAGCCAUGCUGUCAGCUCUGGUUGCUGCUCGAGGUGUUUGAGGGGGGAUGUGCUUCCAUCCCUUGUCUCCGCACCGUAUACGAAUGGAAGCCGCAGGGUAAGAAAGCUCUCGGGUGGAAGGAGAACUCGGCAUCCAAGACUGAACGAUCCUUGUUGAUCACGGUCAGAUACAUUUGAUGGCAGACAUGACCUCUGAUGCCCAAAAGGAAAAACAAGGAAUCCAUUAGUAAUAAAUACGAUAAUGCACGAGUUCACAUGAUCUGUAUUACUAUGAUUUACUAAUUCAUUUGGUCAGCAUUGAAGUGUUUAGAAGAUCACAUAGGUAUUGUUGAUUGAUUGUACCCACCUCAAACUGCACGAGUGGGCAGCUAGCCAACAGGACAGGGAAAUCAGGCGUCACCUGCGCCGGAAAGCAACAUCAGUGGAAUGACAUAAAGAUCAGUUAUAUAGAUACUGCAAUGUUAAGCAGGGAGUGCUUAAAGAUCAGUAUUAGAAAUAAAAUUUUAACAUCUAUCAAUCUAUGUUCCCAAUGUAAAUCAUCAAAAAAAUGCUGAUAAAAGAACUGUAGCUUGAAAAAUAAACUUACGAUAAAAAUCCGUUGAAGUUGUGACACAGCACCAGCAACCUUUACAUCUUGAUGCCCCUUCCCAUCUGAGCUUUUGCAAUGUGGGCAGUGCAUAUAUAUCGGCAGAUUUCUGUUCAACAGUGAAUAUGCUUCUCCACCAUCAUCAGCUGUAAUGUAUUGAAGAGAAUGUUCUCCCUUUCUGACAGUAUGUGCAUCUGACAGAAUAUGAGCAGGCCGCAAGGUCUCUCCGUCAACGCCGGGCUGAAGCAAUUGCUGCCUGCUAUUUCUCCCUGAUGAUUCCAUUGGCCUAUUGGAUUUCCGCCCACUGUUUCCAUUUCCUGUAGUUGCUGCCGACUUAGAUGCAUUUGGGGGCAACUUUUGUGAAUUGUGCUUACUUUCUGAUUCAUUGUUUUGAUAAGAUCUUUCAUAAUCAAUUUCCUUAAGAUACUUCUCUGACAGUAAGAAACGGUGACCGUACGAGCACUCAUGCUCAAAUCCCACAUAUACUACAAACUGUUGUACGGUUUGGGCAGCUUCUUUAGUCUCAUUUCCAACAGUAACUGGCACUAUGUUGCCCCCGAUCUGUAGAAAGGGCUUCCCAUCAGCAGUUUCACUGCUCAUAUUUUUGCUCAUCUUCUCAGAUUCAUUUUCAGCUACAGGUCCUUGACUGAGAGCUGCAUUGGUUCGGCCAUUAGUCUGUUCCGCUGCGCUCACUUGCCGUUCAUCUUUCCGGCCAGCAGGUUUUGGUGGUCUCUUCAGCUGGAGAGCAGGAAACUCAGAAUCUUUAGUUGUGCUGCCAGCAACAACUUCAGCAAAAGGCUUUUUCAUAGUAAAAUUUGGAUGACCUUUACCAAAACUAAUAGCUGAGUUGUUCGUUGAUUGCACUUCAGGUUGUUUUCUGGGAUUUUCAAGCUUUGCAGAUCUAAUUUCUGGUGCGGCUUGGUUUGUGAUGGACUUUACUUCUCUAGAAACAGCAGGUGGAAUCUGGGGGUUCACAUUAGAUGUCAUGGAGGAAGAUUUAGUGGCAGCAUGGGUGCCAUUUUUUCCUUGUCCUUUGCCAAGAGAUAUUGUCCACUUCAAAAGAUACUUGUCCUUUGAGCAAAAUCCAGCUUGGAGCAACCCUUUCGUUGGCUUGUAAUAUCUUGCUCCUCCAAGGCGCACCAAACGCCAAGAGGAUGCCGGAAAUGAACUAGCAUCAACCCCCCUCGGUAGCACAAGGGUGGGUAGUAGAUCCUCACAAUUGGAGAAGCAGUUAAAUGAUACAUUGGCUGUCUCAAAGUCAAAAGGAUCAUCUCUAAGGCGACGCGACCGUCCACAGGCACAUGCAUGGAGGAAGACGUAACCACUAGAAUGUUGUUCGACAGCAUCUGAUGAAGAUAAUUUACCAUGGCGCUGGUGCUUGCAUGGCCUGCCAGUAAGGCUGACAGCAUCGCAUUGCUGCCUUCCAGCUUCCCAUAUUGUUUUGCAUUCAUCUUCUAGCUUCUUGGAGAAUACCUUGACAGCCGGUCCUUUGACUGUUGAGUGAAAGGAUCGCAAUGCUUUCUGUAGCUGCACUUCAUGCACGCUAGUUGGGUAAAAGUCAGGCAAAUCUUUCAAGUACACCUCCUUAGCAACUGGAAGCACCUUUUGGCACCACGAUGAGGAAAAUUUCAUGUUAAGCCCCUUGUUGCUUUCCAAGCAAGAUAAAGCAGUUUCAAUAGCACUAGAUUGCUCGUUCUUCAAACUAGAACUUGCAUGAGUAGAUGAUCCCCUCGCACUUUCGGAAUUAUCGAUCCCAUCUUUUGCACUAAUCAGUCCAGAUAUAAUAGAUGUACUAAUGGAGAACCAUUUAUCAAAACUAGGGAGAUCAGGAACACUAACUGGCUUCCCAGAUGAUGCGGACGCAGCUGCUGCAGCUGCUGCCGCAGCCACCAUACCGACACCAGCAACAGAGCCAGCAGACGCAUUGCCUGAAUACCCGCCUUUCCCUCUCAGUCCGUCGGACUGCCGAAAUAUAAAAUCCUUGAUCAACUGAACAUCUUCGUGGUUUGCAGAUUGGCAGUUGUUUUCUAGUGAAGCGGCAUCCAACGAUGACUUGGAGCUGAAAGAAUCUUCAAACAGUCCUGCGAUGAUAUCCAGUGGCUCCCGUUUCUUAUUAAUUGAGCGGUCCAACAGGGCAACAACUCUGGAUGAAUCAAGUGAGAACAAAGGAAGAUGGCUCACGUUACCAGCACCCCUUGGACCAUUAUGCCCUGACUCCAGACCGGUAAGUGUCCGGCACCUCUUCAGCAAGAACCGGAUCUGACCUUCCAGAGACAAAUGCAGCUUCUUGGUGAAACUACCCUCAGAUUUGCUGGCUGGUCGGGCGAGCAUUACCACUGAGCCAGAACUUUUUGAAGUGCCAGAAGCCUGAUUUGAUGAAGAUGUCUCCCCCAUAUCAUCCAAACUUGUUGCAUCACUUGGACCAUCAAUGAUAUCAUCCUCAAAGACAAAGAGGACAACAGGGAUGCAUUGGCCUGGCAACACAGAAGCGUGCGAACCGGUUCCUGACAUCAACGAGAUGGCUGAGGGUUGGCGUCCCGAGUGACCUCCACGGCGUGCCGGAGGGGAGAUUGAUGAAGCCCUGCGGGUAGGCCGAGUCAGGGUGCCAGAAGGAGUAGCUUUGGAUGGUGUCCCUGGCGUGCCAGAAGGAGCAGCUUUGGAUGGCGUUCCCGGUGCUACUAGUGACCUCACAAAUGGUGCAAAAGCAUGCUUCGAAGAUUGCAGCAGCCUAAAACUCUUCAAGGUCUGUGUGUCAAACCGGAAGCCUUCUUGGAGAAAUAUUAUUACAUGGCAAACCUAGAAUUUCCCAAAAAAAUAUAAAAGCACAUAUCAGAAUCAACCUUCAAAUAAGUGAAUCUUAAACUUCAAUUAGCCACCUCUGUUUCCAAAGCUAUUUAUCAUUACAUUGGUGAAUGAAACAAACAGAAUAAUAAUAAGGGAGGUAUCGCACUGAACUCUAUUAUCUUUAUGAUCAGCACUAAAUCUUAGAUGCCAUUACAUGUAAGUUGUAAGCAAGUAAAACUGUUGGAGAUGUAGCUCUGAGAUGCCAGCUCUGCAUAGACCAAGUAAACCAAAGUAAGUCCCUAGCUAUUAUUAUCAAAGCUACUAGUAGUUAUGACCCUGCCAUGUCUGGAUCGCGGGAAUUUCCACAAACUUAGCAUCCAUCUGCGACGGUAUUAGUUCCCCCAAUACUCUAUUAAAAAUGAUGCAGUGUGACACCAGGGAAAUAGUGCCAACCCUUCCACCUUAGCACCAAAUUUCCAAAAGCAGGUAAAAAAAUGCAAGUCAACAGUCACUUCAUGUUCAGGUUACAUUUUGCGAAUGAGGAUGAGAAAACAGUGCUAUUUGCAACUAAUCACUGGAACUUGUAGCAGUCAGCAUAAGAAUCGUAACACCCAGUCGAAAAGGCUAUGCACUUGACCACCUACAAUGGCCAAAUGUCCAAGCAGGCAUAAUAAGAAAUAUUAUGUGCAGUCUGAACUUUGAAUACAGCGUAUCAAAAAUUAUGCCCCCAGAUUCUUCUCAAGUUUCGCUCUUUUGCAUCAGUAGCUAGCAAGCACAAUAGUUUCGUCGCAACACUGCGAGAAAGCCUUAUAUGACCAAGACGGCAUAGCAGUCAGGCAAGCACAAAAUCUGAUGGCUUCAGAGUUAAGAGUAGCAUCUGGUGAGCAGUGAGCUUAAUCCAUCCAUGGCUGAAUCACAGUGAGGGGCAGCACUCACCGAGAACAUGAAGAGCAUCUCCGGGAGGUCGCCGCCGCCGGUGCUCCCGCCGCCCGCCUCCCGCAGCGGGGGCGGGGCCGGGGAGGCGAGGUGGAGGAAGACCAUCCUCUUGUCCCCGUCGCGGUGGUACCUGAUGCCCCCGGCGAGGGUCCUGGCCGAGCCGCCCGGGGAGAACACGGGGGCGUCGAGGAUCCGGUCCGCGAGGCGCGCGGCGGCGCCCCCCGCGCCGCCCACGAAGCCGACGACGACCACGCCGCCGUCGUGCGGCGGCGAGGCGGCCGCGGCCGGGGAGGGGGAGGGGGCGGAGGCGGGGGGAGGCGCGCGGGAGAGGACCCGCACGGCGGAGGAGGGGGGCGCCUGAGGCGGCGACGGCGACGGCGGCGGCCGCGGCUCCAUCGCCGGCGGCGGUCGCGGCGCGCGAGGAAGGAAGCCAAGUAGUUUCCGGGAAGUCGUUCGCUUUGGCGUUUGGUCGCUCUUUGGGUUUGCGACUUGACAUAAAUAAAAACUUCUACUUAUUACGCUGAAAUAACUAAGUCUAUAAUAUGUGAACAAAUAAAUACGUAGCAACUAGUAAAUCUAUGUGUUAAGCCAAAAUAUAGAGGCAUGAAUGUGUCUUGCAAGUUGUUCUUUCUCCGGAUUUGAUGGUCUAGGGUUAUGGCAACUCCAAUGCGGAUCACUGAAACGAACACACCAAACAUUUUUACAUAACAAAAGUAAUUAGCCUAUUCUACUCUUCGCCGGUCGUGGGCACGUCCAUGUUUCAAGUCUACUCUUCGCUGGACGUGGGCACGUCCGUGUCCACGCCUACUCUCCACCGGAGUCCGCCGCCUGGCUGUGGAUGUCACGAUGAAAGUGAAGUCGACAAUCGACGUUGAUGCGUGACUUGACAUAAAAACUUUUAUUACUUCAGCCAAGACAAUAGAUCUAUGUGAGUUAAAUACUAAGUGAACACCAAUUAGUUUGGAUCGGAUGGGAGUAAUAAAAUCUAUGCUAAGCCCAAAUUGAGGCAUGGAUAUAUCUUUGCAAGUUAUAUUUUCUUUGAAUUUGAUGUUCUAGGGUGACCUGAUAGUGUUGCAGUGGGAUCAGAGACGAGAUGGUUGUUCAUGAAGCACAAAGCCGCAAAGCAAAAUUGGACAAUGCAUCGGUCGACUAUGCUUGGUGUAAGCUCAAUGUAGGACGUGGUGCUCCGUGAGGUGGCGACGGCGUGGCAUCCACCAUGUCUAGAGUAAGAGAAUGAAAGAAAGAGGUGAAGUGAAAUUUCUCCUAACAAUUCCUUUUGGUAGGAUUGUACUCCCUCCGUCCGGAAACACUUGUCGGAGAAAUGGAUAAAGAUGGAUGUAUCGAGAACUAAAAUGCGUCUAGAUACAUCCAUUUCUCCUACAAAUAUUUUCGGACGGAGGGAGUAUUUUUCUUUGCUUUGAGAUGACAUUAAUAUAAGCAGCACAGAUUUUUUUAGAGCUAAUUUAACUAGCAUUUAGUUUCUAUAUUAUUUAAGAAGAAAAAUCAUUUCCCCUCCUUCAGUCUUUGGGCUAUACCUCCCAAGCCCAUCAUCCUUUCCACCUCUCUUCUAUUAGUGCAAUGGUGUGGCCUAGUUGGCGUUGCACAUGGGCCUUGUCCUAGAUAGGAUGUUGCAUCCCAAUCAUAUGCCCGAUUUAAAUGACACUUCAUCUUCUCUAUUAGUCGUAACCCAUCGUAGAUCACCAGACGGAGUUCCAUAUCACCAGCUGUCAUUGUGCCCGAAAGAGUAAUGUCACGGCGCAUUGGUUGGCCCUAGCUAGUUACUGGUGGAACUUCCCGAGGAGUGGCGUGAUCAUCCUCCUGAUUUCUUAAUCUCUUCUCUUGUAACGGACAUGACUACUAUUUAAUAAACGUCGCCGAAGUUCAAAAAAAAAGUUUCAUAUCACCAUAUGAGAGUACGAUUUCAAAAUAGGGAGGCAAAUCAUUGGUGGCUUAAUUUGACUUUGACGAUUAAGCCAUGUUUGGCAAUUUGGUGAUUUAUAAUUUGCUUCUCCAACUUCUUCUGUCUAUUUUUCCACGCGGGCUCGAUUAUGCAGUUGCAUUAUGCUAUACUUAUUUUAUAGUUUGUUGUAAAAAGAGCCACGAAAAUGACUUAAAUAAAGAUAAUUGGUAGCAGGUCGACGAAAGAUGAUUAUCGUAAACAUAUGAGUUAUCUUAAGUGAACAAUCAAUAAAUGGCGGAGGCACCGUGGCAUGUGUUGCCUUGUACUCCUUCCGAUCCACUAUAUGACUGACAUAUGGUUCAUCAAUAAUUUUCUCUAAGUUUGACUUAGGACAAACCUAAAACUGUAAAUAUUUUUGAGCGAAGAGAGUAUCUAUGCAACUGGCUCCAAUAUAAAAUAAUCUUCGCUGCAUAGGCAUCACGAAUGGCGCAUGGAAAAGCCCUACACACAUUGAAGUCUUAGUGAACUUCCAUGAGACAAGGCCCGGGGAAGAAUUAUGAUAGAAUGCGUGAUGCCUAUGGCGCAUGCGGCAAGUCAUAGGUAUCAUGCAUGCAUGGGGCAUAGAAAAACCCCAAUGUGGAGCUGAAACACAGGGGCGGAGCUUCUGGGGCCGAACCGGGCCAUGGCCUGCCUAGGAUUUUCAUGAUUUUUUUAUACCUUUACACUCGACCCAGUUCCCCCAGCAAAAAAUACACUCGGCCCACCACAUCGCACUAUGAAUCGAGUCAAGCCUCCAAGGUCUCACAGGAGCGCACACAGGAGCGUUUCUCCAAUCCUCUAAACUGGUGGUGGUGGAUUCCAGGUCUGCUUUGUUGGGUGAUGCUCCAGCAGAUGCAACUUCAAUAAUUUUUAGAUCUCGUCUCAAGUGGUGAGUGGCUAUUCCAGUCUUCAAAGCCUUGUACGGCUAGGGUGUUUGCAGGUGUCCUUUUUUCUUUGUUGUUGGUUCAGUGCUAUUUGUAAUCUCCGGCGGGCGGCGUACAAUCAGAGAAAGAAGACUAGUAUGCUUUUUAAUGUAAUUUUACUUUUUUUACUGGUCGUUCUACGUCCAGUUGUCUAUCCAUUUCACUGGCCUUUGUUUUGCUCGAUCUAAGAUGCCAUUCGGGUGUUUUUAUUAAGAACAAAAAAAAAAGAAACGGCCAAGAAUACGGCGCCGCCGUCGGCAUCUCAGAGCAUCUCCAACAGGCACCCAAAAAGAGCUCCGCGCAUUAAAAAAUAGUUUUUUUGGCGCCCAACAGCUCCAGCAGAUGCUGUAGCGCUAAAAAGUUUUGGGCGCGCGCGGCAUAUUUUAGGCUCCGGAUUGCGCGCGCUUCACAAUUUGCAUUGUCUUCUUUUUAGGCGCGCGUCUUUGGACGUCUGCUAAAGCAAUGUUGGUCCCGGCGCAUUAAAAGUGUAAAGUGGCGCGCUAUAACUUUUAUUGGGCGCGAGAUUUUUGUGCGGCCGUCGGAGAUGCUCUCAAGUCACCAUAGACGUGUCUAGGUGCGUGCUCCAGCUAGCUUCGUACUUCCAGCCCAAGUCAGAAACGCUAGCUUCUUUGGCCGCCCGGCGCCGUGCUUCUGCGGCCGAGCGCAUGGUGUCGUCAGCAUGCCGCGAGCUAGGACCUGCUCGUCGCGGCCGAGCUCUGGAGCCGCCAUCGCAACUGGCUCUGGCGCCACCGUGGGCCGUCGACGGAGGGUGGGGCUAGGUUCCGACUCCCAGGUCUCAUUUUUUUCAACUUUUUUCCUCUGUAUGUGUUCUGAACCUACAAACAGCUCUGUACGUUCUGAACCAGCAAACAGCUCUGUUUGCUCUGUUUUUCAGGUGCAUGCUCUGUCUUCAGCAGGACAAAAAUUCAGCAUGUUCCAUGAAUUUCAGAACAUUACCACCCUCAAAUCAAAAAGAAAAAAAAAGAAACACUCGGAACAUGUCGGCUAAGAUAGAAACACUCAACAUACAAGGCGGAAAUCAUAGCGCGGUGGGGCGACCAUUUUGCUCUUUUUGCAUUUAGCUCUACUGCUGUACAGUGCUGUCCUUACUGUCCAAUGUACAGUGAAGACUCGAUCGAUGUAGUACUUCAUGUUUAAACCUUCCUUAAUUUACCCGCAACAAAAGGUCAUGCCUUAAUGGUGCCAUAUAUUAUUUCGUCGGGCAUUUGAUUUUCCAACGACCAAAUUAAGAUCAAACGCUGCAUCUAGAAAUUGGUGUGUACCGACGGGCGCCACCGUACAAUAUCUCAUUCUCAGUUGUUUCACUUCUGCAUCUUCUUAACAACUCGUUACAGUGUGUUCUUCAAAUUCCGUUAAAUGAAUGCAUCUCUAGUGAGCAGUGGCAGUUCUUGUGCAAAUAGCAAGAGGAAAUGUAUAUAUGUUGCACAUUCUUAGGCUAAACCCUGUUAUUAACAGAGCUCCUGUAUUCUAGGAUGUGGCACAUGGUAUUCCUCCUACCAACUUCCUUGUGGGCUUUUGAUUCUUCCAAUGUGCCUUGUCUGAGCUCAUGUAUUCUAGGAUGCGGCACAUGAUAUUCAACCCACUUGCCUGAGUUUACCACUGCACUGCACAUGACACAGACAUGGUUCCACAGGUGGACAGCAGGAUACCAUCAGAUGGAUUAACGGCUAUGAAAGAUAAUGUGGUUGUUGUGUGUCUACAUGAACACAUAGAAUAAAUAAACAGUGAUACUCUGAAUUACAUUGCAAGUUAAAAGAGACAAGGAUAGGAAAAGAACUAUGGAUGGAAGCACAUUAUUUGAGCAGCGCACAAGCGCAAUGGGGAUGAAUCCUGGCUUAUGCCGAUCGAUGAGAACGCAAAGGCGUGCUGUGGUCGAAACCCGUACAAAGGCCUGUGCAGCACCUGAAAGGGAACAGAAGAAUUCACUUUAGACAACAAAUUCUAUACAUUAUCAUAUCUACUAGAACUGAUCGACGUGGAUAUAUCUAGCAUAUAUAUAUAUGUGUGUGUAAUAUCUUGCCUCGCUAGCUUCAAGUCUAUACAUACCAAGAAAUUCAUAGAUGUCAGCAAGCGUGUGGAAAAAUGUAUAUAGUAGUUAUUAUGUGUUACCUACCUAUGAGGAUUGUGGUGGAGGACGAAUGUGGAAGACGCAGCGCCACUGAACAUCACCACUUAUAGGUAGCAACCCGAUUGGGCAGCCCCUAGAGUUCCCGAGACUGCAGUGGGCCAUGAGCAGCCAAACGAAGGUGAGGAACUCCCCUCCUCUGGCCAGCUGCGCCGCAUGCAUCUCCGGCCGUGACUUGCUGGCGGCAUGGAGGAGGAACCCUACCCAUGCAUCUCGGAUUUCCAACAGAUGUGCUUCUGUACACACCUUGGGGGGCACCGGAAAACGGCAAUCGAUCAAGAACCCAACCGCCUUAGGCAUGAUGUUAGUGAUGUCAGUAUUAUUCCCCACGCUAAACAAUCUGUGGAGGAUGUAUGCUAGGUCGCUUUGGUUGGAACUGUUUUGGACCGACAGCAUUUCAUGGUGCGUGGCACAAAGGUAAACCAUGUAGUUGGAUAUCGUCCGGCAUACGCGGUCCAAACCACCGUCCACAGCAGCGGUGGGAGCAUACCUACUCAGCAUUACCUCUGUGUAUAUAUGGAGGACGAGAACGGGGAAAUGAAAAUCCGCCUCGGGAACCCGCAGUGACCUUUGAAGCAGUGGACCAAGAUUUGGCCAUUGUGGGAGCAUGCUCGAUUCAUCUGUAGACUGAUACUGCUUAAUCCUCUCCACAAUGCAUCUCAUGACCUUCUCGUCGACCUCCACGAACUUGGUGUCCAACAGCUUACUGACCCAGAGCUUCUGCUUUCGCCCGCAGACUGCAUUCACCAACCUUCUGACCACCGCCAUCACUUUACUUGGCUGCUGGUCGCACUGCCCCAGGUAGUUCAACAGGCUGUACUGACCCAUGGAUUUUGACCACAGCACCCUUCUCCUCUGCCAGCUAAUGCUGAUGGAGGAAAGGAAGCUGCAGCGACGCGUCUUUAGCCAUGCCCAAAUCCAUGGUGACAUCAUGGCGGUAAAUACUGCAAAGACUUCCAGGGAGAAACCGCCGAUAAACAGUACAUAGGUGAUUGCGGUGUCAACGGUAUUGUAUCUCUCCUUGUUUCUUACAGAGAAGAGCACAAAGGCAGCUAAGAAGGAAAUAUCUGAGAGACACCGAAGUAUGAUGCCACCCCAUGUUCGAAGCACCUGCGCCUUGGUAUAGAUGUCAUCGAACAUCAGCCCGAGUUCAAUCUCCAUGGUCUCAAAUAACUUGGCUGAAUAGUCUGCAAGUAGUAGAUCUGAAUUCAUGCUGAGAUCUGUUCCCAAAGGACUGUAACUAGAAAAAAUCCAACGGACCUCUUUUAUGGAAAACAAAGCCUUGGAAACAAGGCCAGAAUAGGAAGAAGUAGAACCCACAUGGAUCUUGUCUAAAUCUGUCAGAUAUUGUGGGAUAGGGAACUCUGCGAUGUUUAUGAGGCUGCCACAACACAAAGCCCAUGUUCUCUCCCCAUACUUGAUCAUUCCCGAAACAAACAGGAGGAUGGUUGGAAGAAGAAGCUCCUGUAUAUUCAGACCAUUGGUCGAUUUCCAAAAGAUAUACAGGGUGAGGGAGACUUGGACAACAAGGUUCAACAAGUGCCUCAGCCAGAGGCUGAUGUCCUCAAUGGCGAAAGCAGUGACGGUAUCUUGUCCGCCGAGGUGUAUGAGGAGGAAGGGUGCCCAAAGAAAAGCCAGGUGAUGAUGAUUUUCCGUGGUGGCAUCCAGGUGAACGCGAGAGAUGAGGCCUAGGACAUAAACAGACACCAUGUCUGCUCCCACAUAAGCUAGCCAGAUUGAAAACCUGAGGGCACUGUUAGUGAUACGCCGCCGGAGGCCACCGACAAAGAAAAGAAAAAGCUGCAUUGUGAAGCUAAGAAGCACCAAUAGCCGGAUCUCCCACUCAUUGAACAGGUGCCCCGAGCUUUUCAUUGCCAAGUGGUUUUCCUGUGUCAUUGAUUCCCCUACCUAGUAAUGUAGUAAUAAAAUACAUGCAUCAGCGUGGCUUUUGUGCUAGUAGUACUGGUAAUAACCUUUGCAAACAAACAAUAAUCUGCCAUGAUAUGUGUUACAGUUUCCUCUUUUGCUACUUUUAAAGUGUACACAUGCAGCUAGCCCACAUUAAAAAAAUAUAGAGACAUAUCAAUUCACAUGAGCCUAAGACUUGCUUAAUUUACAUGCAUGUGGCUAAAAUUCUGCAAGGACAUUUUCAUCUAAUCGGAUUAAUUAUAAUAGCUAGGAUAUACGUAUAAUAUAUUAUUGUAUUGUCGUAUCUAUUCACAUAAGUGGGGUGUAACGAAAAAGUCUCAAAUUUUGUUCAUCUGCGGGGAUUAGUACUACACAUGCUACUGUUCGUACUCUAUUCCCAAAACUAGUUAGAAGAACAAAGCGAGAAGAAUAAUGAAAGAGUAGAUCUCUACAUUGCACAUAAUGGCCGGGAACACAGUCAUCGGGCAUAGAUAGAUGAACUAAACAAGAAUGGUUCUGCAUACCUCGGAAUGAUGAACGCCUUCCACGGAGGAAAGGAACAGUUAUAUGCCGCAAGAUUUCUCAAUCUCAUUGUGAUAUAUAUAUAGAGAGAGCUAGCUAUAGCCCAUCAUCUCACUCACUCUCUCUCUCUCUCUCUCUCUAUUCCUUUCUUGUACAUAAUGCCAAAGGAGCAGAGGAGUAAAGAAGCAUUCCACCACCUGUAUUAUACGUUUCUUGUGCAAAAUGUAAGAGCAAAGGGGAAAGACAUGGGUUAGCAUAUCUCCUUUCGUCAGCUACCCACAAGCUUAAGGGGAGAUGCCAAAGCAAGCAAAGACAUCGGUACGUAGCUACUAGCAAGCAACCAUGAGAAAUUAUAGCAAGAAACUGUUAUGUCGUAUACAUGAAGAAUACAGCAUACCCCACAUAGCUAAUAGCUUCCUCACAUCAGACAAGCACAAAACCGAGGCCUUCAGAGUACCGAGUUUGAUGGCAGCAGGAGUCAAAACUCACCGAGAACUGACGCCCCCGGCGAGGGUCCUGGCCGAGCCGCCGGGGGAGAACACGGGGGCGUCGAGGAUCCGGUCCGCGAGGAGCGCCGCCCACGAAGCAGACGACGGCGAGGCGGCGGCCCAUGAAGCGGAGGGGUCGUGGGGAGGCAGAGGAGGGGGCGCUUGGAGCGGCGACAGCAGCUACAUCGCCGGCGGGCGGCGGCGGCGACGUUUGGUACGGUGUGGUUUUCUUUUUUUAAGAAAACUUCCCAUCUAUUCAUCAACGGUCAAUGUAGUACAAAGAACACUAGAAGUAAAAUUACAUCCAGAUCCGUAGACUAUCUAGCGACGACUGCAAGCACUGGAAUAAGCUGAAGGCGCGCCACCGUCAUUGCCCCUCAUCACUGGAGUCGGGCAAACAUUGUUGUAGUACAGGAAGUCGCCGUGCUUACGAUAUGGCUCUUUGAUUUUGCGACAUACUACCUCCGUCCUGGUUUAUUGCUGAUAAAGGGUUUUCCGCUGCUUUUUAUAUUAUAAAGCAAACAUCCGAUAUAUCCAGCUCGUUGGGGCCGCAACACAGGUAAGUCCAAAAGAAAACACAAGAAAAUAAUGAAAGAGAAAUAAAUGCCAACACCGGCAGAUCAACGAAGAAAGGAAGACCGGCAACCGCUGCACUCUCCGACGAAGUACCACCGCGCUACCCGCAUCCUCGAAGCGCUGCGCACCAAGCAACACCUUCAAGAAGGAUUGCGACGACGACGCCGCUGUUGCCCAACCAAGUUCUAGGGUUUCCCCCGGUACGUGAGGGAUGGUGGGGAAGGGAUAUACCCGACACCCCUCAGGAAGGUCCGAUGGCGCCCGCAAGCGUCACCGAGUCGGUGCCGGACAAGCCGACAUGGAUUUCUCCCGAUUCACAACCAUCGCCACCACCCCAGGCACUUCGAGGCGCGCCACCCCAACAGCCGCCACCAGCUUGUGCCACCACGGUUACCGGACAACCCUCGCCACCUCACUGGAGCUGCCAACACGAGGCCUGGAGCGGGCAAGGAGACCCCGGCCACGGGAACGACCACAACUCGAUCGGGGGGAGGGGACAGCCUCCACCGCCGCAGGGGAGCUGACCGGACGCGGCGACGAUGACUUGCCAGGCCCCGAUGGCCCGGCCGGGCCCACUUGGACCCGGACAGUCAUAUCGCCACGCUGCAACUCGCCGACCGACGAAGUCCUCACCACCCGAGACCGCCGCCACCAUGCCACCACCAGGGAACGACGCCACCGAGCACCGAGCCACCGGCCCGCCCCAACCCAGAUGGGGCCCAUAUGGGCCCAGAUCUAGGCUGGGCGUGCGUCGCCAGCCACCAGCGCCACCGCGUCGUCCCACAGCCAACGGCUGCACCGUCCCGUCAAGAGCCACCAUGGCACGCAGCGUCACCGCCGAUGGGCCACACCGACGCCGACUGAGGAGCACCGCCGCCAACCACCACCGUUUGAGCAUGGGUGGCCGCGCGCAAGGAAGGGCAGNNNNNNNNNNNNNNNNNNNNNNNNNNNNNNNNNNNNNNNNNNNNNNNNNNNNNNNNNNNNNNNNNNNNNNNNNNNNNNNNNNNNNNNNNNNNNNNNNNNNNNNNNNNNNNNNNNNNNNNNNNNNNNNNNNNNNNNNNNNNNNNNNNNNNNNNNNNNNNNNNNNNNNNNNNNGGGGUACGGGGAAGGGGGGAGGUGGGGGGAGGGGCGUGGGAGUGGGAGAGGCUAGCGGCGCUGGAACCCUAGGAGGGAGGGAUGGUCGGGCGCGCCCGAGGAGGUCAUAAGUGCGUCAAGGAUUUAACUAGUUUAUUAGUCCUCUUAGUAUUUUGUGUCAAACUUUGACAAUAGAUUUAACUAGAAAAUAAUAAUACAUGUCAACAAAAAUUAUAUCGUUGGAUUCAUAUUUAAAGAUAGUUUCUAGUGAUAUAACUUUUAUUUACAUGCAUUAAUAUUUUGUUAUUUAAAUUUAAAGUCAAAAUUUAGCACAAAAUAUGGAGGAGACCAAUAAACCAGGACGGAGGUAGUACAUAAUAACCCACACCAAAAAUAUAAUAAUGACAACUUAAAUCUAUGUGCUAAUCAAAAGUGCAACGAGUCAUAUGAAAAAACGCACAUUAACCUUGCUACCUUUUUUUCUUCUAGAUUUGAUAUUCUAUAUGAUUGCAACGAGAUCGACGGUGAGAUGGUCGUAAGGAAGCACAAAGCAAAUCUGAAGGUGCAUGCACAAAUUAUGUUCUCUUAGUCCGGAAUUACUUGUCACGGAAAUGUAGUACAUGGAUUAAGCUUAAUGAGGGGUGUGCUUUAUGCAGCGGCAUGGCAUUGCAACGUGCACAACGAACGGAGCCAAGCAGGCGUGUCACCAACUCACCAUGUCGGUUUCUCGGUGAAAUAUCUUCAAAUUGUGAGGCUGAAAGAUUCGUCGGCUCUUCUGAUUGCUCCUCGUGGUUGUUGUCUUUGGUCUAAUUUUACCAUGGAGGGGUGUUAAUAAUAUAAUAAUGAUACACAUACAUGUGACUGUGUCCUCAUCGGAAGAGGGGAUAUUCGAAUAACCAUCGGGCAGUAUAGAGUUUUCGGAAAAGUACCUAGUUCCUCUUUUUUUUUGGAAUCCAAUAACUCCCGAACGUUCGGAUUUUGAGCAUUUCGUUCCGAACGUUUUUACAUGGCAACUUUAGUUCAUAGGGGAUGGCAACUUUAGUUCAUAGGGGAUGGCAACUUUCUCCUUUUUCAUCUUUUUAUCAGAAAAUUGCCAUGUUUCCCUAAUCUCACGCAAACUAAACUUGCCACCUAAAACGUUCGGGUUGCCGUGCUUAAAUCCCGAACGUUCGGGAGUUAUCAUUACCGUUUUUUUGCGGAAAAUUGCUUAUUGCGUAAUUCAUUUGCAGAAAACACUGAUCGGUCGAUUUGCCCCGUUUGAUCACUUUUUCGACAGGUGGGUCCCGCUCGUCAGGAGCUGACUUGGCAAAAAAGAAACAAGUGCACAUGUUGACCAUUUCUUCUUCCUUGUCCUCUCUCCCCCUCUCUCACACAUUGUAUGAAUCACGUUGUGUGCACUGGGAGGACCUUUUUUCACAUUUUCUAAUUUAGGCAAUGUUCACAAGGAAUUUUCAUUCACCAUGUUGUCCAGAAGGAGCUAUUCUAGGAAGCCUCUUCCUGAAGAUGAAAUCUCAUCUACAGCGAUGUGCAUGGACCUGGUGAGUAGGGAUGCAGCUCCGUGGACCGCUCGUCGGGCCUGAUAGGUGGUGGGACGAAGCGCUGGCCUAGGCAGCUCAAGCUGGACAGGAGCGGGGCGGCACUGGCGUACCCAGGGGGUGUGCCAGGUGUGCCAUGGCACACCCAGAUUUUUGGAAAGCAUUUUUUCACCAUGUAAAAAUUAGCUUUUUUUAGGCCCAUGCAAGCUAAUUGAAAUAGACUUUUUUUUU
rnacentral:lncRNA from 1 species